AUGCCUCAGGAAUCCUACUUGUCUGAACUCAUGGAAAUAGUCACAACUUUCUGGAUCAAGCCUCCUAUGUGCAUAACUACAGACAACGCAGACUUUUUUCUUGCUGUAUUCAACCAGGCAGUGCAAAACUACAUGGAGAGAAGAUAAGACAUGCAGAAUAUGAUGAAGACACAUUGGCUCAUAUUUCAUCUGGAGAGUUAUACAUUACAUAACAGGUCUGGGCAGCUCAUCUAAAGACCACCAAAGGCAACUAACACAAUUUCACACUCAAAUCCCUUAAUUAGCGCAAUAUGUCAAGAGCGUUUCUUGUUUUAGCCCCUUUUGCUUCAGUAGCUGUUUGAGUACAUUAUACAUCAGAAAUCUAGCACCUUCACAUCUAAAACCAGAUCUUUCAGGAAGUUUCGGGAACUGGAACUAGUUUUACUCUCUAGUCAUUAAGAGACUUAUCUUAUCGAACACUUUAAUUAAAAGUGUUAUAGAAAAACAUUAAUAAUUCUUAGGGUUUCAGUAGGUCCUUAAAAAGUUAAAUUUAGUUGUAUCAAAUUUAAAGGCCAUAAAAAGUCUUAAAUGGUACAAAGAAAGUCUUAAUUGUGAUUUCAAGUGGUCUUAAAUUUGGGGACAGAAAGGAUGAUUAAACUUCAAAUGUUCCAAAAGCACCACCUGCUGGCAGAGAAUAACUGUGCAUUUUCAUUGAGCUCUUCUGCUGUUUUUGUUCAGUCCAAUGUAUAAAUCAACCCAUGUUUUUAUGUUGCAAACACGCAUAGUUGUAAAUGUGAACUAGUGGAUCGACAAGAAGAUAAUGCAUUAUAAAAAUCUAAACAAUUAAGACAGUAAAAUAUAUUUACGUGUCAUUUAAUUAAUAGAGUAAUAAUAUGAUACUUUAGACUCAUUCAUUUUCUUAAUAAUGAUUUAAAAGCUGAAAUGUGAAGUUUAUCAUUUACAUUUAAUCAUUUAGCAGACGCUUUUCUCCAAAGCGACUUACAAAUGAGAACAAUAGGAGCAAUCAAAUCAGCAACAGUAUGCAAGUGAUGUGACAAGUCCCAGUUAUUCCAGCAAAGUAGACGUAGCAAGGAUUUUCUCUUUUUAAAAUAAAAGUUAAGUUAAGUAAAAAGUAAAUAAAUAG
ensembl:lncRNA